rnacentral:rRNA from 1 species
UACGUAGGGUGCAAGCGUUGUCCGGAAUCAUUGGGCGUAAAGCGCGUGUAGGCGGCUCGGCAAGUCCGCUGUGAAAGUCGGGGGCUCAACCCUCGAAUGCCGGUGGAUACUGUCGGGCUAGAGUGCGGGAGAGGCGAGUGGAAUUCCUGGUGUAGCGGUGAAAUGCGCAGAUAUCGGGAGGAACACCCGUAGCGAAGGCGGCACUGUGGGCCGGAACUGACGCUGAGGAGCGAAAGCGUGGGGAGCAAACAGG